AAUAGAUCCUGAAACCGCAUGCAUACAAACAGUCGGAGCCUCGCAAGGGGUGACGGCGUACCUUUUGUAUAAUGGGUCAGCGACUUACGUUCAGUGGCAAGCUUAACCAGAUAGGGGAGGCGCAGGGAAACCGAGUCCGAAUAGGGCGCCAUAGUCGCUGGGCGUAGACCCGAAACCAGGUGAUCUAUCCAUGGUCAGGAUGAAGGUUGGGUAACACCAGCUGGAGGUCCGAACCGACUAAUGUUGCAAAAUUAGCGGAUGAACUGUGGAUAGGGGUGAAAGGCUAAUCAAACCUGGAAAUAGCUGGUUCUCCCCGAAAACUAUUUAGGUAGUGCGUCAUGUAUUGCUCCAGGGGGUAGAGCACUGUAAUGGUUGUGGGGGCCAUCGCGGCUUACCACGCCAUAGCAAACUCCGAAUACCUGGAAGUAUGAGCAUGGCAGACAGUCGCCGGGUGCUAACGUCCGGCGGCAAGAGGGAAACAACCCAGACCUACAGCUAAGGUCCCAAAGUGUGGCUAAGUGGGAAACGAAGUGGGAAGGCUAAAACAGUCAGGAUGUUGGCUUAGAAGCAGCCAUCAUUUAAAGAAAGCGUAAUAGCUCACUGAUCGAGUCGUCCUGCGCGGAAGAUGUAACGGGGCUAAGCCAUGCACCGAAGCUUAGGCUGCACUCUCUGAGUGCGGGGUAGGGGAGCGUUCUGUAAGCCUGUGAAGGUGUCUCGUAAGGGAUGCUGGAGGUAUCAGAAGUGCGAAUGCUGACAUGAGUAGCGUUAAAGCGGGUGAAAAGCCCGCUCGCCGUAAGCGCAAGGUUUCCUACGCAACGUUCAUCGGCGUAGGGUGAGUCGGCCCCUAAGGUGAGGGCGAAAGCCAUAGCUGAUGGGAAGCUGGUUAAUAUUCCAGCACCGAUUUCUAGUGCGAUGGGGGGACGGAUCGUGGAAGGUUGUCCGGGUGUUGGAAGUCCCGGUUCCUGACCUGUAGGUGUCUGGUAGGUAAAUCCGCCAGGCGUAUGCCGAGGGGUUGGGACGAGCGAGCUUGCUCGCGAAGCAACUGGAAGUGGUUCCAAGAAAAGCCUCUAAGCUUCAGCUAGAAACGACCGUACCGCAAACCAACACUGGUGCGCGAGAUGAGUAUUCUCAGGCGCUUGAGAGAACUCGGGAGAAGGAACUCGGCAAAUUGACACCGUAACUUCGGAAGAAGGUGUGCCUUGGUAGCUUGAGUGUGAACAACACAAGGGCAAAGAGGUUGCAAAGAAUAGGUGGCUGCGACUGUUUAUUAAAAACACAGCACUCUGCAAACACGAAAGUGGACGUAUAGGGUGUGACGCCUGCCCGGUGCCGGAAGGUUAAGUGAUGGGGUGCAAGCUCUUGAUCGAAGCCCCGGUAAACGGCGGCCGUAACUAUAACGGUCCUAAGGUAGCGAAAUUCCUUGUCGGGUAAGUUCCGACCCGCACGAAUGGCGUAACGAUGGCCACACUGUCUCCUCCCGAGACUCAGCGAAGUUGAAAUGUUUGUGAUGAUGCAAUCUCCCCGCAGCUAGACGGAAAGACCCCAUGAACCUUUACUGUAGCUUUGCAUUGGAUUGCGAACCGACUUGUGUAGGAUAGGUGGGAGGCUUUGAAGUCAGGACGCCAGUCUUGAUGGAGCCAUCCUUGAAAUACCACCCUGGUUUGUUCGCGGUUCUAACCUAGGCCCGUCAUCCGGGCCGGAGACAGUGCAUGGUGGGCAGUUUGACUGGGGCGGUCUCCUCCUAAAGAGUAACGGAGGAGUUCGAAGGUACGCUUGGUACGGUCGGACAUCGUGCCUAAAGUGCAAUGGCAAAAGCGUGCUUAACUGCGAGACUGACAAGUCGAGCAGGUGCGAAAGCAGGACAUAGUGAUCCGGUGGUUCUGUAUGGA
rnacentral:rRNA from 1 species